UGAGGUGAAGGACUAGUGGGAGUGGAUCCUGCCUUUCUUUUGGGGGCUGGUGAGGUCACAGACCAGGGAGGAAUGUUAUGGAAGAGACGUGUUGAGGCAUUCUUCAUACGCUCCCCGGAAACAUUACCUAGCUUAUCAAGUGAGAAACACUGGACACGGGGCAAGGGAAACGAGUCAGAAUGAAAAAUGGACUUUGCAGGCCAAGUAAAAGAUGGGGUUAAAGCCCUCGGCAUCCACAGGGUAAAGGGACUAUAAGUAGAAUACCACCCCAGGAGUUCCCGAAUCAGAGCGUGCGAGUAGAAACGGGAUUGGGACUUCUCCGCUGGAAAAUCCCCCAUUUGAGAAUUAUAGGUCACGGGAUCAAUCUUGUCGGGGUGCGGGCUCUAAACGUAAAUGCAGAAUACCACUUGGAAAGAUUCUGGUAUCUCAAGGAGAGUAUCUUUUACCUAAGUGGUAGUCCUGGAAAGUUUUCAGAGCUUGCUCCUGCCUUCACCAUGUGAAGGGCCUGUUCGCCCUUCACCUUCCACCGUGAUUGAAAGCUCCCCGAGGCUUCACCAGAAGCCCAGCGGAUGCUGAGACCAUGCUGCCUGUAAAGCCUGCAGAACUGAAAGAAAGAGCUGAUUUUUGACUGGCAAAGGAACAUCUGUCAGCAUUGUGAACAAAUUCCAAAAACAUGUACUGGAACAGAUUCCUCUGAGAUUGAGCAAAACCUGCUGUAUUUCGACUAUCUGUUACACAUCCUGCCUUCAACUGACGUUCAGAGUAAGACUGACUCUUGCUCCACCCAACACGCAUUCCAACUGACUCUCUCAUGCUCUCUGCAUAAGUCGAUGAAGACAGUACAGUAGUAGAAUCAAGCAUCAGCAGGAUGUGUUGCCACAGAAUAAUCAAUGUUGUACUAGACUUCCUAUCGAGAAGCUGAGUACAGAUAAACUGACUCUCAUCAAUAAACGCAAUGGGAACAGAAACCAGUAAGGGGAACAAAAAGAAGCAGAGAGACUUCUGGCCCCGACGAGUUUGCAGACUGAAGAGCUACAUCAUCUACAGACUCAAAGACCAAGUCUAUGUUGAUGUGUCCAUGUUGCCAGCACCUCACAAGGCCUGCCACCUGCUAUGCAUCUCAGUAUACAGGGACCGAGUGAAUAAACAGCAUACCUAGUAGGAGGGUCAGCAGUGGGGUUAUUUACGAUGUGGAGCUCGUAUGACUCUAGGUCUGGUUGAACUCUUAUCUCUAGUAUGAGGUAUAGACAUCAUGCAUGAUUGAAUGCAGGUCAUGGCCAUUUCCAGGGAGAGGAGCAGCCCACGAUGCACUGAAGG